UGGGGAAUAUUGGACAAUGGGCGAAAGCCUGAUCCAGCCAUGCCGCGUGAGUGAUGAAGGCCCUAGGGUUGUAAAGCUCUUUCACCGGUGAAGAUAAUGACGGUAACCGGAGAAGAAGCCCCGGCUAACUUCGUGCCAGCAGCCGCGGUAAUACGAAGGGGGCUAGCGUUGUUCGGAAUUACUGGGCGUAAAGCGCACGUAGGCGGACUAUUAAGUCAGGGGUGAAAUCCCGGGGCUCAACCCCGGAACUGCCUUUGAUACUGGUAGUCUCGAGUCCGGAAGAGGUGAGUGGAACUCCGAGUGUAGAGGUGAAAUUCGUAGAUAUUCGGAAGAACACCAGUGGCGAAGGCGGCUCACUGGUCCGGUACUGACGCUGAGGUGCGAAAGCGUGGGGAGCAAACA
rnacentral:rRNA from 1 species